UUUGGUUCCAAGUCCAAAAUGGCAAGUCUCAAGGAUCAGCUGAUUCAUAAUCUUCUAAAGGAAGAACAGACCCCCCAGAAUAAGAUUACAGUUGUUGGGGUUGGUGCUGUUGGUAUGGCCUGUGCCAUCAGUAUCUUAAUGAAGGACUUGGCAAAUGAACUUGCUCUUGUUGAUGUCGUUGAAGACAAAUUGAAGGGAGAGAUGAUGGAUCUCCAGCAUGGCAGCCUUUUCCUUAGAACACCAAAGAUUGUCUCUGGCAAAGACUAUAAUGUAACUGCAAUCUCCAAGGUGGUCAUUACUAUGGCUGGGACACGUCAGCAUGAGGGAGAAAGCCGUCUUAAUUUUGUCCAGUGUAACGUGAACAUCUUUAAAUUUAUCAUUCCUAAUGUUGUAAAAUACAGCCCGAACUGCAAGUUGCUUAUUGUUUCAAAUCCAGUGGAUAUCUUGACCUAUGUGGCUUGGAAGAUAAGUGGCUUUCCCAAAAACCGUGUUAUUGGAAGUGGUUGCAAUCUGGAUUCAGCCCGAUUGUUACCUGAUGGGGGAAAGGCUGGGAGUUCACCCAUUAAGCUGUCAUGGGUGGGUCCUUGGUGAACAUGGAGAUUCCAGUGUGCCUGUAUGAAGUGGAGUGAAUGUUGCUGGUGUCUCCCUGAAGACUCUGCAUCCAGAUUUAGGGACUGAUACAGAUAAGGAACAGUGGAAAGAGGUUCACAAGCAGGUGGUUGAGAGUGCUUACGAGGUGAUCAAACUCAAAGGCUACACAUCCUGGGCCAUUGGACUCUCUGUGGCAGAUUUGGCAGAGACUAUAAUGAAGAAUCUUAGGUGGGUGCACCCAAUUUCCACCAUGAUUAAGGGUCUCUAUGGAAUAAAGGAUGAUGUCUUCCUUAGUGUUCCUUGCAUUUUGGGACAGAAUGGAAUCUCAGACGUUGUGAAGGUGACUCUGACUCCUGAGGAAGAGGCCCGUUUGAAGAAGAGUGCGGAUACACUUUGGGGGAUCCAAAAAGAGCUGCAAUUUUAAAGUCUUCUGAUGUCAUACCAUUUCACUGUCUAGGCUACAACAGGAUUUUAGGAGGUUGUGCAUGUUGUCCUUUUUAUCUGAUCUGUGAUUAAAGCAGUAAUAUUUUAAGAUGGA